GGGGCUAUAGCUCAGUGGGUAGAGUGCUUGCCUUGCAUGCACAAGGCCCUGGGUUCAAUCCCCAGCACCUUA
rnacentral:tRNA from 1 species